rnacentral:rRNA from 1 species
AACGAACGCUGGCGGCAUGCCUAACACAUGCAAGUCGAACGAGACCUUCGGGUCUAGUGGCGCACGGGUGCGUAACGCGUGGGAACCUGCCCUUAGGUUCGGAAUAACUCCCCGAAAGGGGUGCUAAUACCGGGUAAUGUCUUCGGACCAAAGAUUUAUCGCCUUUGGAUGGGCCCGCGUUGGUUUAGCUAGUUGGUAGGGUAAAAGCCUACCAAGGCGACGAUCCAUAGCUGGUCUGAGAGGAUGAUCAGCCACACUGGGACUGAGACACGGCCCAGACUCCUACGGGAAGCAGCAGUGGGGAAUAUUGGACAAUGGGCGAAAGCCUGAUCCAGCAAUGCCGCGUGAGUGAUGAAGGCCUUAGGGUUGUAAAGCUCUUUUACCCGGGAUGAUAAUGACAGUACCGGGAGAAUAAGCACCGGCUAACUCCGUG